AACUUUCGGCAAUGGAUCUCUUGGCUCUCGCAUCGAUGAAGAACGCAGCGAAAUGCGAUACGUAAUGUGAAUUGCAGAAUUCAGUGAAUCAUCGAAUUUUUGAACACACCUUUCCCCCCUUGGUAUUCCGAGGGGGACACCCGUUUGAGUGUCGUGAAUAUCUCAACCUUCUCGGUUUCUUCUGGCCACUGUAGGAGGCUUGGACUAUGUUGGCCUUUGCCGGCGUCUCUCGCCAGCUCCUCUCAAAUGAAUUAGUGGGGUCCUCUUUGCCGAUCCUCGACGUGUGAUAAUAUGUUUCCAUGUCUUGGUUUAUGGCUCUGUUGCUUUUGGGACCCGCUUCUAACCGUCUCAACGAGACAACGUUCGAGCGUGUCGAACACUCUUGAACCCACGAACCCUUGACCUCAAAUCGGGUGAGACUACCCGCGGAACUUAAGCAUAUCAAUAAGCGGAGGCU
rnacentral:misc_RNA from 1 species